rnacentral:rRNA from 1 species
CUGGUAGUCCACGCCGUAAACGUUGGGCGCUAGAUGUGGGUCACAUUCCACGUGAUCCGUGUCGCAGCUAACGCAUUAAGCGCCCCGCCUGGGGAGUACGGCCGCAAGGCUAAAACUCAAAGGAAUUGACGGGGGCCCGCACAAGCGGCGGAGCAUGCGGAUUAAUUCGAUGCAACGCGAAGAACCUUACCAAGACUUGACAUAUUCAGGAAAACUGCAGAAAUGUAGUCCCCCGCAAGGGUCUGUUUACAGGUGGUGCAUGGUUGUCGUCAGCUCGUGUCGUGAGAUGUUGGGUUAAGUCCCGCAACGAGCGCAACCCUCGUCCUAUGUUGCCAGCACGUUAUGGUGGGAACUCAUGGGAGACUGCCGGGGUCAACUCGGAGGAAGGUGGGGAUGACGUCAAAUCAUCAUGCCCCUUAUGUCUUGGGCUUCACGCAUGCUACAAUGGCCGGUACAAAGGGCUGCAAUACCGCAAGGUGGAGCGAAUCCCAAAAAGCCGGUCUCAGUUCGGAUUGAGGUCUGCAACUCGACCUCAUGAAGUCGGAGUCGCUAGUAAUCGCAGAUCAGCAACGCUGCGGUGAAUACGUUCCCGGGCCUUGUACACACCGCCCGUCAAGUCACGAAAGUCGGUAACACCCGAAGCCGGUGCCUAACCGUAAGGA